UACGUAGGGUGCAAGCGUUGCUCGGAUUUACUGGGCGUAAAGGGCGCGUAGGCGGCUCGGCACGUCCGUUGUGAAAUCGCCCGGCUCAACUGGGCGGGGUCAGCGGAUACGGUCGAGCUUGAGCAAGCUAGGGGGCAAUGGAAUUCCCGGUGUAGUGGUGGAAUGCGUAGAUAUCUGGAGGAACACCGGUGGCGAAGGCGGCAUCCUGGACCGAGAUUGACGCUGAUGCGCGAAAGCCAGGGGAGCAAACGGG
rnacentral:rRNA from 1 species